rnacentral:rRNA from 1 species
CUCAAAUUUGAAAUCUGGCCCUUGGGUCCGAAUUGUAAUUUGUAGAGGAUGAUUUUGGUGCGGUAUCUUCCGAGUUCCUUGGAACAGGACGCCUUAGAGGGUGAGAGCCCCGUACGGUUGAAUGCCUAGCCUCUGUAAAUCUCCUUCGACGAGUCGAGUAGUUUGGGAAUGCUGCUCUAAAUGGGAGGUAAAUUUCUUCUAAAGCUAAAUAUUGGCCAGAGACCGAUAGCGCACAAGUAGAGUGAUCGAAAGAUGAAAAGCACUUUGAAAAGAGGGUUAAAUAGCACGUGAAAUUGUUGAAAGGGAAGGAUUUGUGACCAGACUUUUUCUGGGCGGAUCAUCCGGGGUUCUCUCCGGUGCACUUUGCCCAGUAAAGGCCAGCAUCGGUUUUCGGCGGGGGAUAAAAGCAGUAGGAAUGUGGCUCUCUACGGGGAGUGUUAUAGCCUAUUGUAUAAUACCCUGCUGGGGACCGAGGUACGCGCUUCUGCAAGGAUGCUGGCGUAAUGGUUAUCAAUCACCCGUCUUGAAACACGGACCAAGGAGUCGAACAUUUGUGCGAGUGUUUGGGUGUUAAACCCUCACGCGUAAUGAAAGUGAACGGAGGUGAGAGCCCUUACGGGUGCAUCAUCGACCGAUCCUGAAGUUUUCGGAUGGAUUUGAGUAAGAGCAUAACUGUUCGGACCCGAAAGAUGGUGAACUAUGCGUGGAUAGGGUGAAGCCAGAGGAAACUCUGGUGGAGGCUCGCAGCGGUUCUGACGUGCAAAUCGAUCGUCAAAUCUGCGCAUGGGGG